rnacentral:misc_RNA from 1 species
GUAACAAGGUCUCCGUUGGUGAACCAGCGGAGGGAUCAUUACCGAGUUUACAACUCCCAAACCCCUGUGAACAUACCUAUACGUUGCCUCGGCGGAUCAGCCCGCGCCCCGUAAAAAGGGACGGCCCGCCCGAGGACCCCUAAACUCUGUUUUUAGUGGAACUUCUGAGUAAAACAAACAAAUAAAUCAAAACUUUCAACAACGGAUCUCUUGGUUCUGGCAUCGAUGAAGAACGCAGCAAAAUGCGAUAAGUAAUGUGAAUUGCAGAAUUCAGUGAAUCAUCGAAUCUUUGAACGCACAUUGCGCCCGCCAGUAUUCUGGCGGGCAUGCCUGUUCGAGCGUCAUUUCAACCCUCAAGCUCAGCUUGGUGUUGGGACUCGCGGUAACCCGCGUUCCCCAAAUCGAUUGGCGGUCACGUCGAGCUUCCAUAGCGUAGUAAUCAUACACCUCGUUACUGGUAAUCGUCGCGGCCACGCCGUAAAACCCCAACUUCUGAAUGUUGACCUCGGAUCAGGUAGGAAUACCCGCUGAACUUAAGCAUAUCAAUAAGCGGAGGAAAAGAAACCAAC